AUUAAGUAUUAAGUAACAAUAUUAUAAACUUUAAAUUGUCAAUGCUAACGUAUACUGCUCGCAUAUGCAUAAUUUUUGUUUUGUACGCGAACGCUAUGUUCUGAUUGCAUUUUCUGGUGUCCUACUGAUAUACUUCUUUUUACGAACUGCAUUUUAACAUUUUUUUGCGCGCUUCGGCUUCAAGUGUGUGUAACUCUAAAUAUAAGUCUACAUUCAGCCAUGUAUUGUGUAAUCAGAAUUUGAUGUUAUAUUUAUGCCCCCCUGCGAAGAAAGGGGGUAUAUUGCUUUGCACAUUUCGGUCGGUCGGUCUGUCAAUCUGUCGGUCCGUCCACCUGGUGGUUUCCGGAUGAUAACUCAAGAACGCUUAGGUCCAGGAUCAUGAAACUUCAUAGGUAGAUAGAUCGUGACUCGCAGAUGACCCCUCUUGAUUUUGAGGUCAGUAGGUCAAAGGUCAAGGUCACGGUGACCCGAAAUAGUAAAAUGGUUUUCGGAUGAUAACUCAAGAACACAUACGCCCAGGAUCAUGAGACUUCAUGAGUAGAUUGAUCAUGACUCGCAGAUGACCCAUAUUGAUUUUCAGGUCACUAUGUCAAAGGUCAAGGUCACGGUGACCCGAAACAGUAAAAUUGUUUCCGGAUGAUAACUGAAGAACGCCUUUGCCUAGGAUCAUGACACUUCAUAGGUCCAUUGAUCAUGACUCGCAGAUGACCCCUAUUGAUUUUCAGGUCACUAGUUCUAUAUAAUUUUACAUACAUACAUACAUACAUACAUACAUACAUACAUACAUACAUACAUACAUACAUACAUACAUACAUACAUACAUACAUACAUACAUACAUAUAGGCAUUAUGCAUAUAAACUAACAAAUUCGUGAACAUGUCAUUACUAAAUAUAGGUCCGACAUAUAAAAUAAAAAAAAAUUAAAAAACCACCCAUCCGCCCCAAUUUUCCCCAAAAUUUGGAUGAGAAUCUAGUUAUUUAUUUUCUAUGGCCUUAUACUUAUCUACUUUGACAUCUUAAGUACUGUGUGAGUGGUAAGACGUGAUAUAUUACAUCAGAUAAUGUUGUACAUUAUUGAGUGUCUACUUUGUGAAAUAAUAUGUCUGUGUUCAGUCUGACACAUUUUUCAUAAUACAGCUUUUAAGAUGCAUAAGAUAUAUGUUGAUUGUACGAAGCAUUCACGAAGUCGUUUGCCAAUUUAUUGUAUUUAUAUUCAAAAAUAUGGGUUAUCACACUUUGGUUGUUGUGAAUGUUUUUAAAGGUUCACAGAUUGUCAAAAUGAUAUUUCUCCAACAUUAAAUAACAGAUUAAAAAAUAAAAGAACAAUUUACAUCAGGGAGCACAAGUUCACUUAUGACGUAGACUUGUACUGAAAAUACAGUGUUGUUUUUGAAAAAUCAUUUUGUGAAAUGGAUGAAAUCAUCAAGCAUUAUGAAAGCAAAGUGGUUGAAUAGUAUGGAAUGGGUCUGUUGUUUUUGUUAAGUUAAUGUAUUUUUGUGUGCUAUUAGACAACACGUUGAAUUGUAUGGGUAGUUUAUUUUAAUACUAUUUUAUUGCUUUUGUCUAUAAAUGUUUAUAAUAUUAUAUAUAAAGAAACCAAGGUGCAUAUGUGAGUUACAAUGAGAUCUUUACAUAGGUAAAGAAGCUUUGAGCUUGAAGAUGAGAAAAAAUGUUUGGGUCAGAAGUUUUAGUAAGAUAAGAUGCUGAUCUCUAUUAAUUGAAUGGGUAGCUAUAUACUGAAUAAUGAUAUAUUUCAAAUCCAAUAUUGGAACAAAUGUAUUAGGAGCAUUAGGUGUCUAUACAUCAGAAUGAUUUAUGCUUCAGAAUGUUUUAUGCUUUAAGUGAAUGAAUUAUAUACAAGUUUAUUUAUGCUUUUAAAUAUUUUAUAUUAACCAAUUUCAACCUGCAAGCGUCCCUGCCAUUUUGCAUGCGACUAUAGUGCUCAUAUGACCCUUAUGUUUCCCUAAACUGGCAUAAUUAAUUAGCCUCAAUGCAUUCUUUCCAUGCAAAUAAAUAAUAAAUAACCA